UGGAUCAUUGAUGAACAAAAAAAAAAAACAUCUGGGAGUCCUCUGAGAUAUCCAUGAUGACCACAACAUUGGGAGUCUGAGGUCCAC
ensembl:snoRNA